rnacentral:rRNA from 1 species
AGCGAACGCUGGCGGCAUGCCUAACACAUGCAAGUCGAGCGCUCCCAGCAAUGGGGGAGCGGCGGACGGGUGAGUAACGCGUAGGAACGUAUCCUGAGGUGGGGGAUAACCCUGGGAAACUAGGGCUAAUACCGCAUGAUGGCGAGAGCCCAAAGAUUUAUCGCCUUGGGAGCGGCCUGCGUCUGAUUAGCUUGUUGGUGGGGUAACGGCCUACCAAGGCGAUGAUCAGUAGCUGGUCUGAGAGGAUGAUCAGCCACACUGGGACUGAGACACGGCCCAGACUCCUACGGGAGGCAGCAGUGGGGAAUAUUGGACAAUGGGCGAAAGCCUGAUCCAGCCAUGCCGCGUGAGUGAUGAAGGCC